ACAUACACUUCACUUUUAUUUCCAAAUCUCCUUUAACCCUAGCUAGAAGCCGUCGCACCUAGCGGCUGUUCAUCUCUGCCGAUUGCGAUGACCGUCGCACCACCCAGCUCGCCUUCAUCUAACCAUCACACCCAGCCCUCUCUGUGUCACACCCUAAUUGUUUCUCAACGGUCUCUCGCACCAUUAACGCUGCUCCGUCCACGCACCCAGGAAUCGGCUCUGCUCCGUCCACGCACCCUCGUUGGGUUCGAAACCUCCAUCGGCGAGGAGAAGAGGAAGAGGAAAACCUUAGAGGAGAAGCCCUCCGCCGAUUCCGCAAUCGAAGCUUUGGAGAAGAAGAGGAAGUACCACGAGUCAAUUGAAGAGGAGGAACAAGACUCACACCCUCUGUGUGAGGUGCGGCCACCACAGCUUUCACCUCCAGAAGAGUCGCUGCUCCGCCUGCGCUUCCCCAACUGCAUGCAAGAUGAAAUAGUCUGAAAUCAAGGGGUAUUCGGUUCCCUGGCCAUGACAACGAGAGCUUGGUGCCUAUUUUCACUCCUCCGCGUUCGGUGUCUGAGGCUGAACUUGAUCUUCCUCACCAGACUCAGGAUGAUGAUAUUUCUGUGCAGAGUUUUACUCUUGAACAAACUAAGGAAGCUUUUGAUGUUGCUAGAAACAGCAUUGAGCUUCUUUCUACUUGAAGAAGAUAUUACUCUUUUUUCCUAUCAACAAGGAUGUCUGGAUUUCAUAUCUGAAAACUGUUGUGGCUGCUGAGCCAGCAGCUCCCACUGAGCAUAAUGUUAGUUUGCUAACAGUUCCAAGUGCAAAGACUCUUGGAGAAUAGGCUGGGUUGUGCAAGAUUGAUUCGGAAGGAAAAGCUAGGAAGGUAACUGUUUGCUCCUGGGAAGUUGUGAAGGAUUUUGGAGAAGAACAUGAAGCCUUUAUAGCACAUUAAUGUUGUCCUUUAGCACAUUAAAGCUCAGAGUAAUUUCUGGAAAUUUUUGUGUUUUAUAGCGUUAAAAAUUAUGAUUUAUUUGUCCUGUCUUAUAUGAAGUUGUGGGCAUUUUUUUGUUCCUGAUUAAAUGGUCUGCUCAUCUCAAUUGCCUUUGAAAUAUCCCUUUUAAUUUGUAUUAUGUGCUAAACAAAGUGGUUAAAAAUCUGUUUUGUUUUCCAUCAGAUAUAGUUAACGGCUUGAAGACCAACAAGUUUAAUGCAAAGGAUAGAAGUGAUAUAUCUCUGUUCCUAGAGCGUGCCUUUGUUAGAUUGGAACCAUGGGUCCAAUGGUUUAAUACAACUCAGUCAUGUAUAUUAUAAAUCUAAUGCCAUGUGUGCUUCAGUGCUGAGAUGAGUUAGUUUCUUCCUCACCUAGUUUUGGGUUAUCAUCUCUUUAAUACAGGGAAUCAGAUGGGCAGCUACUACAGGAAUGGACGGGACAAUAAAACAAUACGAGAAUUGAAUCCCAAGGUUCAACUUAAAUGGACAGAAGUGGCAGUUGGACAUAAUCAAGCUGCUCGCGAGCCUGUCCGGGAAGUUUUGGAGAGACCCAAGUUGAGAUUUGUUCCCCACAUUGGUUAUAUACAGGUCCAGGUGCUCAGAAGUGAGUUGUGGGUCGUCUGAGAGACGGCGAAGAUCCUUAUUUUUUCUACUUUGUGUUUUGCUUAGAAUCUCUCCACCUUUGUUUUGAAAAUAUUAUAUUUUGUAUUGAACUCUUUUGAACUUGCAUAUAGAGCCUCUCAUGUUUCCUUUGGGAGAGAUUAUGAUAUACUGUUGUCAACUACUUUCAUACUGUACCCUAGCCAGCCUAAACUUCGCGGGUCGCGACUAGUGGCUAUUUACUUAUGUUAUAUAUAUCUAUCUGUUAUCUAUCUCUUAAUCUCCUUUAUGCCUCGUCCGUAUAUCGCUUUCGGCUUCACGGUGUAUUUUUUUGUUGUCGAAACAGGAGUGAUACAUCUUCGCGAUUUUAUUUAUACUCUUUUUAGGCUUCUCGAUCAAUACCCUUUCCGAAAUUACCUAUAUUUAUAUAUUAAAAAUCUACGUGAGAGUCGUACCACCAUAGUAUCAUUGACU